rnacentral:rRNA from 1 species
UACGUAGGGCGCAAGCGUUGUCCGGAAUUAUUGGGCGUAAAGAGCUCGUAGGCGGCUUGUCACGUCGGGUGUGAAAGCCCGGGGCUUAACCCCGGGUCUGCAUCCGAUACGGGCAGGCUAGAGUGUGGUAGGGGAGAUCGGAAUUCCUGGUGUAGCGGUGAAAUGCGCAGAUAUCAGGAGGAACACCGGUGGCGAAGGCGGAUCUCUGGGCCAUUACUGACGCUGAGGAGCGAAAGCGUGGGGAGCGAACGGG